UGAAGAGGGGGCGGGGCAAGUAACUGUGCGUGGUGAUUGACAACUCCUGUGCACGUGCUCUGUCAUCCCACCGCGUCUACAGACCCUGGCAAUCGUAUGAUAACUCCCCUCUCUCUCUCCCUUUACUCUCUACACCUUAGUUAAAAUAUUCCAUUAAUAUAAUACGUUUCUUAAAUAAUUAGCUGUGACGUUACAACAAAAUGCUCAUCAGGGUACAGCUGACAGUUUAGGAAUAAUGGUGUUGGAGGUGAUGACAGAUGAAACAGACUCAGAAAUACCAGAGCAGGGCCAUAUGCUUGCUUUUGGAAAUAAUAACAGAGGUCAGCUUGGCAUAUAAACCAAAGGACCGGUUAAAAAAUGAUCUGUGUUAAAGCUCUUAAAGGGGAGAGAGCUCAGUUUGCCUGUGGGACUGAUCAUACACUCGUCUGAACUUGAGAGCUCAUCUGUACAGUUUGGCCCAGAAUUUUGCAGUCUUCCUCCUCCUACAACUGGCUUUACUGCACUAGCCCUGACAGGCAACAUCUACAAUCCAGAUCUCCGACAGACACUCCUAAAUGCUUGAAAAAAAAAUAUGUGUCUGUGGAAUCUGUUUUUACCUCAAUCACACUGCCAGCCAGGACAUCUUCAUGUAAAUAUUUUCAUAUUGUUUUAUUUUUUAUGUUCUCCCAAGACCUCCCUCUUCAUCGAUCUAUUAUCUGUCUAUCUAUGAUUCAAAUAUCUCUUACAGCAAUUACUGUAUGUAGUAUAGUGAAAUAGUAUAUCACUAAAUAAAGUCAUUUUAAAUGACUC